ACGGGGACACGGGAACAGCGCCCACCUGGAACCCCAAAACAUCCACAGGGACAUGGGAACAGCACCACAUCUGGGACCCCAAAACAUCCACGGGGACACGAGAACAGCGCCAACCUCGAGUCUCACCAGGGAUUCCAUCCCAACAUCCAUGGGGACAUUGGACAAGUGCUCACCUGAACUAAAGGCACUGCUGUGCAGAUGCUGCCCAGCAAAGUUGUGACAGAGCUCGACCACAGAGAGCAGCAAAUCCGAGUGGGAUGAAACCUGAGCAAACGAGAAUCCUGCUCCCCGGGGGAACAGAGAUCACCUUAUAUGGGAACAUCACGGACAAGGGGAUGAACGCCCAGCCGGGCUGCUGAGACAGUUGUCUAGCCACUUCUCACAGACUCUGACAGGAGAGGAUGAUGUUAACAGCUCAGAAGUACCAGUGUGAAGAAAGUGGCUCACAAAAGCAGCAGGAUCUGGGAUCCAGCAGAAAACACUGUACCAGUGCA